UGUCACUGAUGAUCAGUGGCUAAUAUGUUUAUUAAUAAACUAAAUAAUAAAAUAAUAAUAUAGCUGAUCACUUUUCAUCCCCACUUAUUUAGUAUUAUUAUUUUUUUGGCAAUAGAGAAUUUAAUAUACUAAUAGCAACAGAUUCUCAAACACACACUCUCUCUCUCGCUCUCUUUUUCUCGGGGAGAGUGGGAGACUCUCUCAGCAGCUAAACAAACAAUGAAAAAACUCAAACUCUCUUGCUCUCUCUUUCUUCUUCACUGCCAUUUCUCAAACUCCGGUGACCUGCGACACGACCGAUAAUAAUGAAUCUAGGGUGAGCCGAUCUACAAAACCCACAUGGCCAUAGGACGGGAAAUUAGCCAACGCGCCAUCACCAAUGGUUUGCUGACUUCAACAGCUGCCGAUCGUGUUCUGCAAACGGGUUCCACCUUUCUUUACUCUGAAUCUUGUUCUAGCUGCAGGUGUAUGGUGAUUUAGGAAGAUUGUCGUGAUGCAGCUGUGGAGACUUUGAAUCAGUUCCUUGGUUGGUGCAAGCUCUCAUUAUUUUUCGUAAGCUGCAUUUAAAACUUAUCUGAGAAGUUGAAAAAACACAGAAUCAAGCAAGAGGUCUUGUGCGAUAAAAAGAGCGUUUGGCUGUUAUGAAGACAAGUUCAUUCCAAUUCCUAUUCCUCUCAUUGAUCUCCAUCAUCAGGCAUUCCUACAAGUAAAUCUGGGUUAUCAUCAUCAAUUGUAUCCUAAUUUCUUUUGCUUCUGUUUUUCUCAGAUGCAGCAAGAGUAGGAGGCUUAGAUGGAGUAUUGAUACCUUCGGCCUGGGAUCAAAAAUGGUACUGGAAAUCAUAACGGCAAACACUGAUACUGAUCAAACCUUGGUGGGAGGGGCCGUAAAUUAUGUAUAGACAUGAUGUUCUAUUUUUUUAAGUUUGUAAAUAUGAUAAAGCGAGCUAUGUAAUUCAGUGAUGCAAUAGAAAUAUUUACUAUCAAUUUUUAUGAGGUUAAAUAAUUUAUUUAUUGGUGUAAUACUGGCAGUGGAAUGAUAAAAGAGGAUAAAAUUUUGGGGUGAAAUAAUUGGCUUUUUCAUUUUU